rnacentral:rRNA from 1 species
GCCGGUCCGCCUCACCGCGUGUACUGGUCCGGCCGGGCCUUUCCUUCUGGAGAACCGCAUGCCCUUCACUGGGUGUGUCGGGGAACCAGGACUUUUACUUUGAGAAAAUUAGAGUGUUCAAAGCAGGCCUUUGCUCGAAUACGUUAGCAUGGAAUAAUAGAAUAGGACGUGCGGUCCUAUUUUGUUGGUUUCUAGAACCGCCGUAAUGAUUAAUAGGGAUAGUCGGGGGCGUCAGUAUUCAAUUGUCAGAGGUGAAAUUCUUGGAUCUAUUGAAGACUAACUACUGCGAAAGCAUUCGCCAAGGAUGUUUUCAUUAAUCAGUGAACGAAAGUUAGGGGAUCGAAGACGAUCAGAUACCGUCGUAGUCUUAACCGUAAACUAUGCCGACUAGGGAUCGGGCGAUGUUUCUAUAUUGACUCGCUCGGCACCUUACGAGAAAUCAUAAGUUUUUGGGUUCUGGGGGGAGUAUGGUCGCAAGGCUGAAACUUAAAGGAAAUUGACGGAAGGGAGCCACCAGGCGUGGAGCCUGCGGCUUAAUUUGACUCAACACGGGGAAACUCACCAGGUUCAGAUGAAAUAAGGAUUGACAGAUUGAGAGCUCUUUCUUGAUUUUUCAGGUGGUGGUGCAUGGCCGUUCUUAGUUCGUGGCGUGAGUUGUCUACUUAACUGUGAUAACGAACGAGACCUUAACCUGCUAAAUAGCCAGGCUAGCUUUGGCUGGUCGCCGGCUUCUUAGAGGGACUAUCGGCUCAAGCCGAUGGAAGUUUGAGGCAAUAACAGGUCUGUGAUGCCCUUAGAUAUUCUGGGCCGCACGCGCGCUACACUGACAGAGCCAACGAGUUCAUCACCUUGGCCGGAAGGUCUGGGUAAUCUUGUUAAACUCUGUCGUGCUGGGGAUAGAGCAUUGCAAUUAUUGCUCUUCAACGAGGAAUGCCUAGUAAGCGCGUAUCAUCAGUACGCGUUGAUUACGUCCCUGCCCUUUGUACACACCGCCCGUCGCUACUACCGAUUGAAUGGCUCAGUGAGGCUUUCGGACUGGCUCAGGGAGGUUGGCAACGACCACCCCGAGCCGGAAA